GACGAGUGGCGGACGGGUGAGUAAUGUCUGGGAAACUGCCUGAUGGAGGGGGAUAACUACUGGAAACGGUAGCUAAUACCGCAUAACGUCGCAAGACCAAAGAGGGGGACCUUCGGGCCUCUUGCCAUCAGAUGUGCCCAGAUGGGAUUAGCUAGUAGGUGGGGUAACGGCUCACCUAGGCGACGAUCCCUAGCUGGUCUGAGAGGAUGACCAGCCACACUGGAACUGAGACACGGUCCAGACUCCUACGGGAGGCAGCAGUGGGGAAUAUUGCACAAUGGGCGCAAGCCUGAUGCAGCCAUGCCGCGUGUAUGAAGAAGGCCUUCGGGUUGUAAAG
rnacentral:rRNA from 1 species